rnacentral:rRNA from 1 species
UACGUAGGGCGCAAGCGUUAUCCGGAAUUAUUGGGCGUAAAGAGCUCGUAGGCGGUUUGUCGCGUCUGCCGUGAAAGUCCGGGGCUCAACUCCGGAUCUGCGGUGGGUACGGGCAGACUAGAGUGAUGUAGGGGAGACUGGAAUUCCUGGUGUAGCGGUGAAAUGCGCAGAUAUCAGGAGGAACACCAAUGGCGAAGGCAGCACUCUGGGACGGUACUGACGCUGAGACGCGAAAGCCAGGGGAGCAAACGGG